rnacentral:rRNA from 1 species
UCUUGAGUGAAGUAGAGGCAGGCGGAAUUCCUAGUGUAGCGGUGAAAUGCGUAGAUAUUAGGAGGAACACCAGUGGCGAAGGCGGCCUGCUGGGCUUUAACUGACGCUGAUGCACGAAAGCAUGGGGAGCAAACAGGAUUAGAUACCCUGGUAGUCCAUGCCGUAAACGAUGAUAGCUAGGUGUGGGGGGUUAUAUGCCGUCCGUGCCGGAGUUAACACAAUAAGCUAUCCACCUGGGGAGUACGGCCGCAAGGCUAAAACUCAAAGGAAUUGACGGGGGCCCGCACAAGCAGUGGAGUAUGUGGUUUAAUUCGAUGCAACGCGAAGAACCUUACCAGGUCUUGACAUCCGACUAACGGAGCAGAAAUGCACCGGUGCCCGCAAGGGAAAGUCGAGACAGGUGGUGCAUGGUUGUCGUCAGCUCGUGUCGUGAGAUGUUGGGUUAAGUCCCGCAACGAGCGCAACCCUUGUCAUUAGUUGCUACGGACAGAGCACUCUAAUGAGACUGCCGUUGACAAAACGGAGGAAGGUGGGGAUGACGUCAAAUCAUCAUGCCCCUUAUGAUCUGGGCUACACACGUACUACAAUGGCCGUUACAGAGGGCAGCGAAGCCGCGAGGCGGAGCAAAUCCCGAAAGGCGGUCCCAGUUCAGAUUGCAGGCUGCAACUCGCCUGCAUGAAGGCGGAAUUGCUAGUAAUCGCGAAUCAGCAUGUCGCGGUGAAUACGUUCCCGGGCCUUGUACACACCGCCCGUCACACCAUGGGAGCCGGUAAUACCCGAAGUCAGUAGCCUAACCGCAAGGAGGGCGCUGCCGAAGGUAGGAUUGGCGACUGGGGUGAAGUCGUAACAAGGUAACCGUA